CAGUGUCUCAGAAUUUCAUUUUUGAUGGCAUUGACAGUUUGGAGGAUUAUUGGUCAGAAGUUUUGAAGAAUGUCUCUCAGCUGACUUUUGUCUGUUGUUUUUCUCAUGAUAAGACUAUGGUCGUGGAUUUUGGGGAGGAAUAUGACAAAGCUGAAGGGGAAGUCCUACAAUGAUAUUUUUUAGAACAAUGAUUCUGAGGGAGAUGAAGAUUAUUUGUACUUCUGGAAAAGAGCCUGUGCUGUGAACUCAACUGAUUAUCACAAAAUUAAGCUGCAUGCUUUCAAAUUAAUACAUAUCACCAAUGCUAAAAUUCCUGAAGAAUGAAUGACGUUUGCAAUCAUACUGAUGCAGGAGGAGGAUUAGAACACCACGGCUGGUUUUGCUCUGCAGUACUGACUC